AUGUUUUGGGCGGCCCAUCUGGUUAGUUCAGCUAUCACUGCUGGAAGCCCCUGCGGUUGUUCGUCUGCGUGCUCCCCGUUUGUGUAUCUCACACUCCUAAAGCAUCUAUUUUUUCAUAUUUCUUCCGGUCGGCUUCGUGUAGAUAGAUGUUUGCCGGGGGAGAUUAGUGCUCCUGAGAUUCCUUUCACCAAGUCAUCACCAGCAAUCAACACUUAUCCCUUGGUGUGGUGUCGGCGAGUUCCUUUCUUGUCUUGCCCAAAAACUUGCUUGAUUCUCAUUGGAGAAAGACUCUCCCGCGGCAAGGUUUUACACACAGGGCCAGCUGCUUUCUUUAUCUCGCUUGCCGUUAGUCUGUCAAGCGCCUUUCUUUCGGUUGGGGUCCGUCCCGGGGCUUAG